rnacentral:rRNA from 1 species
CCCUUAGAUGUCCUGGGCCGCACGCGCGCUACACUGAUGCAUGCAACGAGUUUAUAACCUUGGCCUGAAAGGUCUGGGUAAUCUUUUGAACGAGCAUCGUGAUAGGGAUAGAUUAUUGCAAUUGUUAAUCUUGAACGAGGAAUUCCUAGUAAACGCGAGUCAUCAGCUCGCAUUGAUUACGUCCCUUCCCUUUGUACACACCGCCCGUCGCACCUACCGAUUGAAUGGUUCGGUGAAGAUCUCGGACUUCGAUAUUUAUUCUUUAUUGAGUUUAUAUUGUGGGAAGUUAUCUAAACCUCAUCAUUUAGAGGAAGGUGAAGUCGUAACA